UACGUAGGGGGCAAGCGUUGUCCGGAAUCAUUGGGCGUAAAGCGCGCGUAGGCGGCCCGGUAAGUCCGCUGUAAAAGUCAAAGGCUCAACCUUUGAAUGCCGGUGGAUACUGUCGGGCUAGAGUCCGGAAGAGGCGAGUGGAAUUCCUGGUGUAGCGGUGGAAUGCGCAGAUAUCUGGAGGAACACCGGUGGCGAAGGCGACAUCCUGGACCAACACUGACGCUGAGUGAGCGAAAGCCAGGGGAGCAAACGGG
rnacentral:rRNA from 1 species